GAUGAACGCUGGCGGCGUGCUUAACACAUGCAAGUCGAACGAAGCACUUAAGACAGAUUCUUUCGGGAUGAAGACUUUUGUGACUGAGUGGCGGACGGGUGAGUAACGCGUGGGUAACCUGCCUUAUACAGGGGGAUAGCAGUUGGAAAUGACUGGUAAUACCGCAUAAGCGCACAGUACCGCAUGGUACAGUGUGAAAAACUCCGGUGGUAUAAGAUGGACCCGCGUCUGAUUAGCUGGUUGGCAGGGUAACGGCCUACCAAGGCGACGAUCAGUAGCCGACCUGAGAGGGUGACCGGCCACAUUGGGACUGAGACACGGCCCAGACUCCUACGGGAGGCAGCAGUGGGGAAUAUUGCACAAUGGAGGAAACUCUGAUGCAGCGACGCCGCGUGAGUGAAGAAGUAUUUCGGUAUGUAAAGCUCUAUCAGCAGGGAAGAUAAUGACGGUACCUGACUAAGAAGCAC
rnacentral:rRNA from 1 species